CGGAAAUAUAGGGGGCGCUGUAACUACAUGUGCAUCAACUAGUAACAUAGCAUACAGCAUACAGUCUAAAAUCACAGGAGGGUCACCGAAUCUGCCCCCGUCAUCGCAAACGGGAAUCUCAAAUGACAAGGGAUAUUGGACACUUGUUGCCGACUGGAUAAAAGUAGAUAUGGCAGUGAGGAUAGAAGGAACAUAUGCUGUCUACACUAGAAACCUGUCUUCUGCAGUGACUGCAUCUUUUAGGUAUUCAAGAUAUGAUGUGGGACAUGAUUUUUUGAGAAAACUACAGCCGAAUAGUUGAGAUCCGUCGUGGGGCCUGUGCUGUGCUAACUGAGGUGAUGUCUGCUACCCUGCCUGUAAUGAUAUGCUGAAAGGUCUACAUCCUUGAUCCCAGACAAAUGUCAGUGAUAGCAGAAAGUCCAGAGAGGUGAGAGCCAACUUGAUGGACUCGGCAAGUCAUCUUUUGCCUUGUUAAUUAAUUGUUAACAUUGUCGUUGUUGAUACAUGCACAUUGAAAAGGCACCAAUAAAGCAUACACCUGACGCUGACAAUCAUUUCUUCAAAGACUCGGUAAACAGGUGCAAUCUAAUUAUGUUGUCUUUGAUCAUUCAGAAAUUCAUCUGAUCAGUGCAAGGUUCCUUCAAUCUGAAAAGCAGUUACACCUUCUACUUG